CCGGAUUGGAGUCUGCAACUCGACUCCAUGAAGUCGGAAUCGCUAGUAAUCGUGGAUCAGAAUGCCACGGUGAAUACGUUCCCGGGCCUUGUACACACCGCCCGUCACACCAUGGGAGUGGGUUGCAAAAGAAGUAGGUAGCUUAACCUUCGGGAGGGCGCUUACCACUUUGUGAUUCAUGACUGGGGUGAAGUCGUAACAAGGUAACCGUAGGGGAACCUGCGGUUGGAUCACCUCCUUACCUUAAAGAAGC
rnacentral:rRNA from 1 species